rnacentral:rRNA from 1 species
UACAGAGGUGCCAAGCGUUAGGCGGAAUCACUGGGCUUAAAGCGCGUGUAGGUGGGUCGUUAAGUGUCCGCGUGAAAUCCCACGGCUCAACCGUGGAACUGCCGGGCGUACUGGCGAUCUUGAGGCAUUCAGGGGCGAGCGGAACAAAUGGUGGAGCGGUGAAAUGCGUAGAUAUCAUUUGGAACGCCAAUGGUGAAAACAGCUCGCUGGGAAUGAUCUGACACUGAGACGCGAAAGCCAGGGGAGCGAACGGG